AUGCAACGCGAAGAACCUUACCUGGUCUUGACAUCCACAGAACUUUCCAGAGAUGGACUGGUGCCUUCGGGAACUGUGAGACAGGUGCUGCAUGGCUGUCGUCAGCUCGUGUUGUGAAAUGUUGGGUUAAGUCCCGCAACGAGCGCAACCCUUAUCCUUUGUUGCCAGCGAUUAGGUCGGGAACUCAAAGGAGACUGCCAGUGAUAAACUGGAGGAAGGUGGGGAUGACGUCAAGUCAUCAUGGCCCUUACGACCAGGGCUACACACGUGCUACAAUGGCGCAUACAAAGAGAAGCGACCUCGCGAGAGCAAGCGGACCUCAUAAAGUGCGUCGUAGUCCGGAUUGGAGUCUGCAACUCGACUCCAUGAAGUCGGAAUCGCUAGUAAUCGUGGAUCAGAAUGCCACGGUGAAUACGUUCCCGGGCCUUGUACACACCGCCCGUCACACCAUGGGAGUGGGUUGCAAAAGAAGUAGGUAGCUUAACCUUCGGGAGGGCGCUUACCACUUUGUGAUUCAUGACUGGGGUGAAGUCGUAACAAGGUAACCGUAGGGGAACCUGCGGUUGGAUCACCUCCUUACCUUAAAGAA
rnacentral:rRNA from 1 species